rnacentral:rRNA from 1 species
ACGGCUCCGUGCCAACAACCACCGGCUAACUACGUGCCCUCAGCCGCGGUAAUUUUACUGGUGCAAGCGUUAAUCGGAAUUACUGGGCGUAAAGCGUGCGCAAGCCGUUAUGUAAAACUGAGGUGAAAUCCCCGGGCUCAACCUGGGAACUGCCUUUGAGACUGCAUAGCUUGACUGCGGCAAAGGGGGAUGGAAUUCCGCGUGUAGCAAUGAAAUGCGUAAAUAUGCGGAUGAACACCGAUGGCGAAGGCAAUCCCCUGGGCCUGCACUGACGCUCAUGCACGAAAGCGUGGGGAGCAAACAGGAUUAGAUACCCUGGUAGUCCACGCCCUAAACGAUGUCAACUGGUUGUUGGGUCUUCACCGACUCCGUAACGAAACUAACACGUGAAGAUGACCGCCUGGGGAGUACGGCCGCAAGGUUAAAACUCAGAGGAAUUGACGGGGACCCGCACAACCGGUGGAUGAUGUGGUUUAAUUCGAUGCAACGCGAAAAACAUAUACCCACCAUUGACAUGUACAGAAUCCUUUAAAGAUAUAGGAGUGCUCGAAAG